rnacentral:tRNA from 1 species
GCCCUAGUAGCUCAGAGAUUAGAGCUUCGAUUUUGUAAGCCGAAUGCCGAGGGUUAAAAUCCCCCCUAGUGCU